rnacentral:rRNA from 1 species
AUAACAUCCGGAAACGGGUGCUAAUACCGCAUAGUUUUCUUGAUCGCAUAGGAUUAGAGAAAGGAAAGACGGCCUUUGUGCUGUCGCUUAUGGAUGGACCCGCGGCGUAUUAGUUAGUUGGUGAGGUAAUGGCUCACCAAGACGAUGAUACGUAGCCGACCUGAGAGGGUGAUCGGCCACAUUGGGACUGAGACACGGCCCAAACUCCUACGGGAGGCAGCAGUAGGGAAUCUUCCGCAAUGGACGAAAGUCUGACGGAGCAACGCCGCGUGAGUGAAGAAGGUUUUUUCCGGGAUCGUAAAACUCUGUUGUCAGAGAAGAACAAGUUGGAGAGUAACUGCUCCAGCCUUGACGGUAUCUGACCAGAAAGCCACGGCUAACUACGUGCCAGCCGCUGC